AGUUAGACUAUAAGGGUCAUGCAAGGAAGGAUCGUCCUUGCUUGGUUCACCGCAGUAGCUCCCUACCCAGCUCAGGUGGAGACCACCUAGCAGUCUAAAUGAAGAAGCCCUCUAACGAGGAACAGAACUCAACUCACACCUUGGAAUAUAACCAAAGGGACACUCGCAGCGAUACGAGCCAUCUGUGUUGAUGCACUGACCAUGUUUACAGACAUCAGGUUCUUUGCAUUCAUCCAUGUCUUAAGUGAAGAAAGAAAGAACAAUUAAAAACCAAGGUAUUUUCUUAAACUA